GUAGGGGGCCAGCGUUGUUCGGAAUUACUGGGUGUAAAGGGUUCGUAGGCGGUGCGGCAAGUUGGGAGUGAAAUCUCUGGGCUUAACCCAGAGGCUGCUUCCAAAACUGCUGUGCUUGAGUGUGGGAGAGGCGCGUGGAAUUGCAGGUGUAGCGGUGAAAUGCGUAGAUAUCUGCAGGAACACCCGUGGCGAAAGCGGCGCGCUGGACCACAACUGACGCUGAGGAACGAAAGCUAGGGGAGCAAACAGGAUUAGAUACCCUGGUAGUCCUAGCCCUAAACGAUCAGGACUUGGGGUGCCACCCGUUCGGGUGUCGUCCCGGAGCUAACGCGUUAAGUCCUGCACCUGGGGAGUACGGUCGCAAGACUG
rnacentral:rRNA from 1 species